ACGGGGCGUAAAGGCGCACGCUGGCGGUUUGUAAGCGAUGAUGUGAAGCCCCGGGCUCNACCUGGGGACUGCWUUUCGAACUGGCAAGAGACUCUGCUAGAGGGAGGUAGAAUUUCAGGUGUCGCGUUGAAAUGCGUAGAGAYACUGAGGGAUAYACCAGUGGUGAAGGCCGCCCUUCUGGACAAAGACUGACGCUCAGAUGUSAAAGSGUGCGGAGCAAACAGGAUUAGRUAUCCCUGGUAGUCCACGCCGUAAACGAUGUCUAUUAGGAGUCUGUGCCCCUGAGRCGUGGGUUCCAAAGCUAACGCAUUAAAWAGACCGCCUGGGGAGUACGGCCGCAAGGUWAAAACUCAAAUGAAUUGACGGGGGCCCGCACAAGCRRUGGAGCAU
rnacentral:rRNA from 1 species